AGAGUUUGAUCCUGGCUCAGAGUGAACGCUGGCGGCGUGGAUUAGGCAUGCAAGUCGAGCGAUCCUUGUCAUUGAUGCGGACUGAGGCUUCGGCCAAAGUUCGCUGAAGUGACGCUGGAUAGCGGCAAACCGGUGAGUAACGCGUGGGUAACCUACCUUAAGGAGGAGCAUAGCUUCGCGAAAGCGGAGGUAAUACUUCAUAAUCCCCUGGAUUUGAUGGUUCAGGGGCAAAGACGGCCUCUACUUGUAAGCUGUCACCUUUUGAGGGGCCCGCGUCCUAUUAGGUUGUUGGUGGGGUAAAGGCCUACCAAGCCGAAGAUGGGUAGCUGGCGUAAGAGCGUGACCAGCCACAUCGGGACUGAGACACUGCCCGGACUCCUACGGGAGGCUGCAGUCGAGAAUCUUUCCCAAUGGACGAAAGUCUGAGGAUGCGACGCCGCGUGGGGGAUGAAGGUUUUCGGAUUGUAAACCCCUUUUAUUGAGGAGGAAGGCCCUGGGGUGAAUAAUGCCCAGGGAUUGACUGUACUCAAUGAA
rnacentral:rRNA from 1 species